UACGUAGGGUGCAAGCGUUAAUCGGAAUUACUGGGCGUAAAGCGUGCGCAGGCGGUUUUGUAAGUCUGACGUGAAAUCCCCGGGCUCAACCUGGGAAUUGCGUUGGAGACUGCAAGGCUAGAAUCUGGCAGAGGGGGGGUAGAAUUCCACGUGUAGCAGUGAAAUGCGUAGAGAUGUGGAGGAACACCGAUGGCGAAGGCAGCCCCCUGGGUCAAGAUUGGCGCUCAUGCAC
rnacentral:rRNA from 1 species